rnacentral:rRNA from 1 species
GUGGGGAAUUUUGGACAAUGGGCGCAAGCCUGAUCCAGCAAUGCCGCGUGCAGGAAGAAGGCCUUCGGGUUGUAAACUGCUUUUGUACGGAACGAAACGGUCCGGGUUAAUACCCUGGGCUAAUGACGGUACCGUAAGAAUAAGCACCGGCUAACUACGUGCCAGCAGCCGCGGUAAUACGUAGGGUGCAAGCGUUAAUCGGAAUGACUGGGCGUAAAGCGUGCGCAGGCGGUUUUGUAAGACAGGCGUGGAAUCCCCGGGCUCAACCUGGGAAUUGCGCUUGGGACUGCAAGGCUGGAGUGCGGCAGAGGGGGAUGGAAUUCCGCGUGUAGCAGUGAAAUGCGUAGAUAUGCGGAGGAACACCGAUGGCGAAGGCAAUCCCCUGGGCCUGCACUGACGCUCAUGCACGAAAGCGUGGGGAGCAAACAGGAUUAGAUACCCCAGUAGUCC